AACGAACGCUGGCGGCAUGCCUAACACAUGCAAGUCGAACGAGAUCUUCGGGUCUAGUGGCGCACGGGUGCGUAACGCGUGGGAAUCUGCCCUUUGGUUCGGAAUAACAGUUGGAAACGACUGCUAAUACCGGAUGAUGACGAAAGUCCAAAGAUUUAUCGCCAGAGGAUGAGCCCGCGUAGGAUUAGCUAGUUGGUGUGGUAAAGGCGCACCAAGGCGACGAUCCUUAGCUGGUCUGAGAGGAUGGUCAGCCACACUGGGACUGGGACACGGCCCAGACUCCUGCGGGAGGCAGGAAUGGGGAGUAUUGGACAAUGGGCGAAAGCCUGAUCCAGCAAUGCCGGGUGAGUGAUGAAGGCCUUAGGGGUGUAGAGCUCUUUUACCCGGGAUGAUAAUGACAGUACCGGGAGAAUAAGCUCCGGCUAACUCCGUGCCAGCCGCCGCCGUAA
rnacentral:rRNA from 1 species